rnacentral:tRNA from 1 species
AAUUUCAUUGUUGCCGGUAAUGACAUGUAGAAUAGGACUCUAUCUUUAUUCUCGUCCGAUUAAUUAGUUA